rnacentral:lncRNA from 1 species
GUCUUGUAACUCUUGUCUCUUGGGUUAUGUAACUCCUAGAGUUAUAAAGUGGGGGGUUAUGGUUCCCAUUCUAGUGCAAGACAAGUUCUUCUUCUUCAUUGAAUCAAGAACCAUAUUGUCCAAUGUCUUGCAAAUAGGGUGGAAAACCAGUAAGCCAAAAUUUUGAAUAUUGUCAUAACAAUAUUAUUGUGAACCUUUCAUACAUUGUGUUAGN